UAAAUAUUUAACUUGAUGUUGAAAUGCAUUAACUACAUAUAUCAAGACUAUUUUAUUUAUAUUAUCUUCAAUAUUUUAUCUAUUUGAGAUCAAGUUAUUAUUUGAGCAAAGUCUUAUAAGAAGGUAACAGGAUGACGCUGUAGUUUCAGGCGGCGUAGUUUCACCGGGGUUGGCAGUGAGAGCGGUGAUAUCGGCAUCGAUGGCGGUGACGGGGGUAUGUUCGACGAGGUGAGAUAUGGUAGUGAUGGCCAAUGAAAACUUCCUCAAUAUGCUGUAACGUAUCACGGCCAUCACCUUAAGGUUUUUUGGCUAUUGUCCGGUCUUGACUUCAUCUUGCUCUUGCAUUCUCCUUUUAUAAUAUGAUGGAGAUGAGGCACCAUCUGAAGUUUCAGGAAUAGAGGGCAAGUGUCUCCUUUGUAGAGGUAGAAUAGGUGACGAGGAAAGGCUAGGAUUACAUGUGGCGGGUUUUCCAGAAAUUCUGGAAUGACUAACAGGAAGCAGGUGAUGAAGCAAGCAGGUGAUGGAGCAAGCAGGUGAUGGAGAGGUGACGUGGCUGCCGUAGGGAAGGGGGCUACGAUCUCGCCGUAGAGAGUUGCAGCCCGUAAGAGAUGUUGUGCCCUGUAGGAGAUGUUGUGCCAUCAUUUAGACUUGUUUAUAAGGUUCAUGGCUCUGCUAAUAUCAUCCACUGUAUCUCUUUGUUCAUGCUCUUGAUAAGUAGACAGAGAUCAUCUUCGUAACCCUACGGAUGAUCCCGCAAGGGUGGUGAAGCUCCAUAGAUAUAAGUUUCAGGGGUGGCUUACAGUCUAGCCGUAGGCAGUAGGAAAAACCGAAUGCAUAGCCGUAGUUUAGCUUACAGGUUUUUUAGCUAUCAGAUGCCCCUAUGGUUGCUAGGCUUUCUUUAGGAAGCCGUAGGAACCAAAUAAAUAGGUGAAAAUUAAAUAUAUGUUGCAGAAGUUUGCAUGCCUUCUAGACACUCUAGAGAAACCUGUAUAAAGUUUUCUGCGAUUGCUAAUAGGACUGUGACAACAUGUUGAUGAGCUCACUGAUACAAAGCUAUGAUAUAAACUCUGUCUUGAAAAAAGUAUUCUAAUCGAAUCUUUCACAACCUAAGUAUUAAUAGUUUAUAUAUAUAUUAUAUAUGGAUUCUCAUGUGUAAACAAGAAUCGCGAGAAAAACUAGUAAUGAAGAUUUAAAAUUAUAGUCAUGAGAGAAUAUCUUUGGUUUUACUAUAAAUUGAUAUCGAAAUUACCUUAAGUUAAAAAUGCAGAAUAAUCCAUUUCAAGUCGUAGCUAUUGGUGGAUGACGUAUGUUGGCUAAAAUAGGUGUUAAGAAAGUGUGGAAAACAAAGACAUGAUAAACCAACUUGUAGCCAUAGCCAUAUAUAAUGAUAUAAUCUGACUUCUAGAUAAGAAAAUAAAGGAAACGUCCGUAGCCAGGGAAACUAAAAAUGAGGUCCACAAUCAGUUUUUUUGAAGUUUAGUGAAGUAGCCAGAAGCAUAUUGUGCUACUUUUAGUGGCGCCUGUUUAGUUGUUUUCAUUCUGUUGAUUAUUUUAAUCACUCUAUGACUAUCUGGCUGCGGAAGCAUUUUGAUUCUGGUUUGGAGUUCAUUAUUAUUUAUUUAUUUGAAAAUGUGUUCCCUUGUGAGUUCCGCGUAGUUAGGCUCCGGAUCAGGAUCCUUCAGCAUGGAGCCACAGGAGGUGUUAGCACUAGCACGAUACAGAGCAUAUGUGCGCCCGACAUACUUGAUGAUUCAACACGGGAACAUUAGCAGUGAUACAAUCUUCAUGUUUUCAGGUCGGAUAGACUCAUAGAAAAUGUAAGCAAUAGCAAUGUUUGUGCAAACAAGGCAGAUAGAUGCCUGGGUCAUAGUUCAAUAUCCUCGAGGGUAAAAGUAAUGAGGGGACUCGAAACACCAAGGUGCACUGGAAGAAAAGGAGCAGGCUGCAAACACGAUGCUUAAAGCCGUAAGUGCAUUCAUGCAUUGAUUAGACAAGUCUUUUUGCUUUCUUGAGAUGAGUCCAACUGCAAAAAUAGUAGUGACACCCACAAGCAAGUAUGCCGGCCAAAGAAGAAUAUCUAGUGAUUUGUGCGACUGUGCGAGACUAUAUAUCCUUAUUAAAAGCCCUGUCAAAAUUAACAAUAUCUGAAGGAAAAACAUUAGGAUGUAAGUCUUGAGUUCUUACUGAUGAAAGAUGUGUUCCAAUGACCGAGCUAGUUGGUUCAAGAAAAAGAAAUGUUUAUGAAUGCAAUAUUCAUCUCAUAUCUAUAUAUGUAGAAUGCUCUCACUCGAUCCAGCCUUUAGGGUCUAGGGGUACUAAUUCAAAGUUUGCCAUAAUUUUUGCAGAAAUUAGUGGAGAUGAUUUUUCCUAUCUGCAUUUAUCGAACGCAAGGAAUUCUUCCUAUCAUGAUAAUUGUAUGAUGCUUUGAUAUCAGCAAAAUUGAAUAUAAAAAAGCACCCUCUUAAAUAAAAGAUUUCAAUCUAAUCUAAAGUGCCUAAAUAUGUGUGUCACGAUAUCAGUAUUUUACUAUAGCGAAACACAAUUCACCAUUAUAUACAAAAUGAUUAAGGUUUGUAAAAGUGGUCCACCAUUAAAAUGAAUUAUAGAUAAUUGAGUUACUCUAAUGACAUAAAUCUCAUGCAAAUACACUGCAGAAAACAUAACACAUCACCAUUUUAAAGAAAAAGGGAGGCAUCAUCAUUUGCCCCUUGGUGUGUUAACACUUAACAUGAAUAAAUAGGAAUAUAGCAAAAAGGUAUUUAAAUAAUAAUAAUUGCAUAUAUUUUGAUGCAGGACAGACAUAUGUAUAUAUUUUGAUGGCCGCAGGGCCUUUAAACAAUCCGUAGCCGUAGCAGUUAUUGCUACUUAUAUUGGCGUAGGAUGAAAUAAUCCGUAGCCGUAGCAGUUAUUGCUACUUAUAUUGGCGUAGGAUGAAAUAAUCCGUAGCCGUAGCAGUUAUUGCUACUUAUAUUGGCGUAGGAUGAAAUAAUCCGUAGCCGUAGCAGUUAUUGCUACUUAUAUUGGCGUAGGAUGAAAUAAUCCGUAGCCGUAGCAGUUAUUGCUACUUACAUUGGCGUAGGAUGAAAUAGUCCGUAGCCGUAGCAGUUAUUGCUACUUAUAUUGGCGUAGGAGGCAGCAAUCCGUAGCCGUAACAGUUAUUGCUACAUAUAUUGGCGUAGGAUGAAACAGUCCGUAGCCGUAGCAGUUAUUGCUACUUAUAUUGGCGUAGGAUGAAACAGUCCGUAGCCGUAGCAGUUAUUGCUACUUAUAUUGGCGUAGGAUGUCCACAAUAUAACUUAUGCAAACAAAUGUAUAUAAGAAAUAAUGUGAUUAUAAAUGAAAUAUAUUAUAACAAGGAAAUUGUAUAAAAGCUACAUAAUUGAAUAAAAUAAAUGACAUAUGCUGUAAUAACGAUGCCAGUGAUUUUAAGACUAACUAAUUAUAUAUAACAUUAUGUGAACUACUUAAAGAAUGUAACAUUUAACCAAAAUGCCAUGACCAAGAGUAUAAUGAUCCAAUGCCAUAAGAAAGCACACCAUUAAAAAAUCAUGGAAAGUAACGAAUGUCAAUGAAAUAAAGAACUUGCUGUGCAUUGGAAAGUUCACUAUAUAUAGGCAGACAAUGUUACAGAAAUUAAUUUCUGAAUAACAGGUGGCCGUGCGUAAGAAAAGAAAAAAAAUAUGAUAGUUUCUCAUGGUUAAAAUAACAGGCUGUAGGUUGAAAUGAUGUCCUUUAAACAGGAUGAGCCAUUAAUAUGUAUAAGGUUGAAAAAUGGGAGGUAUGUAGUUAUGUAAAAAUGUGAACUCAAAGCUUAUAAAUAAGGUUGUCUUUCUGUAGGAGAAAACACCAGUUGAGUGAAUAAGAUGGUAGAUAGCAAAGGAGUUAAAGCUCAGAAGGAAAGGAUAUAGCCUAGCUAUUGCAUGUGUGUAUGUGAAGAAAUGAGGCACUGGACGUGAUGUAUGUUAAAAUUCAAACUUUUCACACGUAAUAGUUAAAGGUAGCAACUUUUAAAUACAUAACAAAAGGUGGCUUCAUGUAUAAUACGAAAGAGUUCGCGUACAGUUCAUAUAACAGAGCUAAAAACCUGGAAUCAAGGUAGGCAGCUCAAGUACACAAGUUCUGGAUCAAGUUUAAGACUUUCAAAUAUUACAGCCGCAGUCUCCUGCUCAUAUUGGCGGUUCAUUAGAGCUAGCUAAAUAAAAGGUAGCUAACACUACAUAUGGGUGUUGCAUGGUUCCAGUGCUCGUGGAUGCGUAUUCUCAAAGCGUAAAAUAAGAUAGGUUAAGUUGAUGUAUGUGUUUGUUUUACGGCCCAUAAAUAGCAUGUUUCCAGAGCAUUUGUAAUAUAUACAAGUUUUGUAAAAACAUAAUGAAGUGAAGAAAAUAAAAACUAGAGAGAGGAAAAAGAGCUGUAGCUUUGGUGAGAUAACAAAGGCUGUAGCUAUCCUGUGAGUGUAAACAGUUUGUUUGUGUUGCUACGGCCUACGGCGAAACCAUACACUACGGCUACGGGAAGCACGUUCCCUCAGGCAUUGCUGCCUUAUAGUACGUGCAUUUUUGAACCAAUCCCCUGCGUAACUCCAAAGCUAACCUAUCAUUAUUCCCUACAAACUCUCACAUCCCUACUGCCAUGGUAACACUACAGGAUUACGUCUUUGCGAUGCGCCGAAAGGUUUAAAGAUGGCUAGCCUGCAACUUGGCAAAACAUCUCCCACACGGGCUACGACUUCACAACCUACGGGAUUAUUUAAGCAUGUCAUGUGCCCCUCUUCACUAGGUCUCCAUGUGAACACUCUUAGACUAAUAGAAUGUCGUAAGAACCAUCCGAACUGUCUUAGGAAACCCUUCAACCUAAACUUAUAGACUGCAGUGUCAUUACCUUGUAGCUAGCUUCUAACCAAGUAUGUAUAUUCUUAACACAUGUCAAAGUGUAAAGACAAAAUGUAUGUAAAACUACUGAGUGUAUAAGAGGCCAAAUUAAUAUGUGUUAUGGAAGGACCAAGCGCCAAAGUAAGCAACUAGCAAAAGUAAAUUAAAAAAAAAAAAAAAAUGUACACAUUGCAACAGCAACAAGUAACAAAGUAAAACCGUGAAAAUUAAAUGCGACACAAAGAAUGUGAUAACAAAAUAUGUAAAUAUCACGUAAACAAUAAUAAGUUGUAAAAUAAAAAGAUGAAAAGUAAUGUGCAGACGCAAAAAUAUAUCAAUGAGACAAGUAAAGCAAUAAAUAACAUAAUAAAAGUAGGUAAAAAAAAAAACAGUGAGUGACACGCAAAUGAAAGAAGCUGCAGUGAUGCAAAUGUACUAAACAGCAAUGCGAUAAGUAAUAUUAAUGUCGACAAUAACAAAAAACAAUACAUCCGCAACAAGAAUAAGAGAAAAAGCAUCUGCAUAUAAAUACAUGUAACAAGAAGCUUGUAGCAGCAAGGUUGGUCGUAACCUCUGUGUGUCCUAAGUUGUCAUUUCAUAUAUACGGACUGUGUGUUCAUAAUAAUAUAAAAUUCAAGUUUUGUGUAAAAGCCCCAGACAAAUAUCCUGAUUGUUAAAUAUAUAUAUAUACAAAAAAUACUGCAGGCAAGGCAAUUAAUAAAAUAUGUGCAUGGAGAAAGAGCAACGAAAGAAAUAAGAAAAUAUGAGCUACGUAAAGAGUAAAAAUCGCCUUACUUGUAUGUCGAUGUGGUGAAAGUUGGAGAUCUUCCCGCUAUGGGUGUAAAUGGAAGCCUUGAUCGUUAUGUUAAAGUAAAGGUGGGAAACUACAGGGGCUAAUUAAACCACUUAGAGCAUAAUCAGGAUCCGCUGCGGAAAGAACUAGUUUUUCUGGUUUUUCAAAGAAAGACUGAUAGUUGUCUGGCUUCAAAGUGGUAUAGAUUGGUUGGUUAGGAAGAGAUCAUACUUACUGUUCGGCUUGGGAUCCAAGCCGACGAGGCCUCUCUCGAGGCACGGCAUAGUGAUGCUCACGAUAUUAAUUAUCAUGACCAGGUGAGUAUCCGAUCAAAGAGGUUCAUUUCUAGCCUAAGUUGUACCUAGACGUUGUGGUACUGCAAGAUAAUUUCAGUGAGGUCGUUGUAGUAUAGUGGUGUGUAAUACCAGGUUAGCAUGCCGAUCCCCGGCAGCGGCGCCAACUGAUGGCCAAUGAAAACUUCCUCAAUAUGCUGUAACGUAUCACGGCCAUCACCUUAAGGUUUUUUGGCUAUUGUCCGGUCUUGACUUCAUCUUGCUCUUGCUUUCUCCUUUUAUAAUAUGAUGGAGAUGAGUCACCAUCUGAAGUUUCAGGAAUAGAGGACAAGUGUCUCCUUUGUAGAGGUAGAAUAGGUGACGAGGAAAGGCUAGGAUUACAUGUGGCGGGUUUUCCAGAAAUUCUGGAAUGACUAACAGGAAGCAGGUGAUGAAGCAAGCAGGU
rnacentral:lncRNA from 1 species